rnacentral:siRNA from 1 species
UCAAAGUGCACAUAUCUUUUC